AACACAGACACACAUACACACAGAAACACAGGCACAGACUCCCACACGUGGACGCACAGACACACAUAUAUAUGAUACUUCUUGUCUCAUCUGGGAUUGGGUUUCUGCCAGAUGAGUACAACACUAAGAAAAAAUGAGCUAGGGAGUUAGUUCUGUGAACGCCUAGCUGGUUUCAGAAGAAAACAGAAAGGUGAGGGCUGAGGGAGUGGGAGAAACAGAGUCUGAGGCACCACUUCCAACCAGGUGGCACCAAGAGCCAGCGUGGCAGCGGAGGGGGGACGUGGGGGAAGCAAACUGCGGGAGAAGAGGUCGCACGGAGAGAGUGCCUCUACUGACUUAGUGAUGUGCAGUAUUUUGAAUGAUCGCUAUUUUCCAGAUCCUGUGAUAGACUAAAUGGUAAACGACCCCAAGGAAAUUCGAAUCAUGGUGAUGAUGUGUCCACAGGGGGCAGAUUUACCAAGAAACCUAAGCUGUAAGGCCUGUCACCUGCCUUGGAAGAGGACAUGCACAUAAGGAACACCACAGUCAAAGGUUCCUCAGCCUCACGCCCUCUCCAUCCCGUCAUGACAUCUAACUACACUGAAAGAAAUGAGCAUCCAGCUGAGGUUAAGUUUCUGCACUUGUGCGUAUGUGUAUGGCAUAGACUUCAAGGUGGCCCCGCGACCCCUGUGACUUGCUCCUAACCAACAAAAUAUGACCAGUGUGAUGCAGUGUGACUCCUAGGAUUAUGUAGUUGUAUAAGGCUUGGUCUCCUUGAAAGAUUUGAAGAAGCCAGCUACCAUGAGGUCUACAUCUUUCCACAACCUUGGUGUUGGAACCUAAUCCCCAACGUGGUGGUAGGUUUGCCACCUGAAGCAGACAACGGCCCUCACCAGAUACUGAACCAGCUGGUGCCUUAACCUUGUACUUCCAGCCUCCAGAACUGUGAAAUGUAAGUUUCUGUUCUUUACAAAUGACCCAGCCUCAGGUAUUUUGUUAUAGCAGCAGGAACAGACUGAGAUAGUGGCCAACACAAUUCCAAGUGCCUGGUGAAUGCUUCCCUUCUGUCCCUUCACAGACAGAAGGUCUAGUAAGAAGCAAUAGUUCUAG